rnacentral:rRNA from 1 species
UGGUUCGAUUAUGGCUCAGGAUGAACGCUAGCGACAGGCUUAACACAUGCAAGUCGAGGGGCAUCGGGGGUGAAAGCUUGCUUUCACCUGCCGGCGACCGGCGCACGGGUGAGUAACACGUAUGCAACCUGCCCUCCACUGGGGGAUAAGCGGAAGAAAUUCCGUCUAAUACCGCAUAACAACCCGAGGGGACAUCCCCUUGGGUUUAAAGGAGUGAUCCGGUGGCGGAUGGGCAUGCGGCGCAUUAGCUUGUUGGCGGGGUAACGGCCCACCAAGGCGACGAUGCGUAGGGGUUCUGAGAGGAAGGUCCCCCACACUGGUACUGAGACACGGACCAGACUCCUACGGGAGGCAGCAGUGAGGAAUAUUGGUCAAUGGGCGGGAGCCUGAACCAGCCAAGUCGCGUGAGGGAAGACGGUCCUAUGGAUUGUAAACCUCUUUUGUCGGGGAGCAAAGAGGCCUCGUGAGGUCAAAAGUGAGAGUACCCGAAGAAAAAGCAUCGGCUAACUCCGUGCCAGCAGCCGCGGUAAUACGGAGGAUGCGAGCGUUAUCCGGAUUUAUUGGGUUUAAAGGGUGCGUAGGCGGGACGGUAAGUCAGCGGUAAAAAUGCGGAGCUCAACUCCGUCGAGCCGUUGAAACUGCCGUUCUUGAGUGAGCGAGAAGUAUGCGGAAUGCGUGGUGUAGCGGUGAAAUGCAUAGAUAUCACGCAGAACUCCGAUUGCGAAGGCAGCAUACCGGCGCUCAACUGACGCUGAAGCACGAAGGCGUGGGUAUCGAACAGGAUUAGAUACCCUGGUAGUCCACGCAGUAAACGAUGAAUGCUAAUUGUCCGUUGCGAAUGAGCGAUGGGUGAUACAGCGAAAGCGUUAAGCAUUCCACCUGGGGAGUACGCCGGCAACGGUGAAACUCAAAGGAAUUGACGGGGGCCCGCACAAGCGGAGGAACAUGUGGUUUAAUUCGACGAUACGCGAGGAACCUUACCCGGGCUCAAACGCCAUCUGACGUAGGCUGAAAGGCUUAUUUCUUCGGACAGACGGCGAGGUGCUGCAUGGUUGUCGUCAGCUCGUGCCGUGAGGUGUCGGCUUAAGUGCCAUAACGAGCGCAACCCCUGUCGACAGUUGCUAACAGGUAAAGCUGAGGACUCUGUCGAGACUGCCGGCGCAAGCUGUGAGGAAGGCGGGGAUGACGUCAAAUCAGCACGGCCCUUACGUCCGGGGCGACACACGUGUUACAAUGGCAGGUACAGCGGGAAGCCACCCGGCGACGGGGCGCGGAACCCGAAAACCUGUCUCAGUUCGGAUUGGAGUCUGCAACCCGACUCCAUGAAGCUGGAUUCGCUAGUAAUCGCGCAUCAGCCACGGCGCGGUGAAUACGUUCCCGGGCCUUGUACACACCGCCCGUCAAGCCAUGGAAGCCGGGGGUACCUGAAGUACGUGACCGCAAGGAGCGUCCUAAGGUAAAACCGGUGACUGGGGCUAAGUCGUAAAAAGGUAGCC